UGCCAGCCGCCGCGGUAAUACGGAGGGUGCGAGCGUUAAUCGGAAUUACUGGGCGUAAAGCGCACGCAGGCGGUUUGUUAAGCUAGAUGUGAAAGCCCCGGGCUCAACCUGGGAAUUGCAUUCGAAACUGCCUCACUAGAGUCUAGCAGAGGGAUGGGGAAUUCCGGGUGUAGCGGUGAAAUGCGUAGAGAUCCGGAGGAACAUCAGUGGCGAAGGCGCCAUCCUGGGCUAAGACUGACACUGAGGUACGAAAGCGUGGGGAGCAAACAGGAUUAGAUA
rnacentral:rRNA from 1 species